CAAUAAGCGGAGGAAAAGAAACCAACAGGGAUUGCCUCAGUAACGGCGAGUGAAGCGGCAAAAGCUCAAAUUUGAAAUCUUAGUGCCUUUGGUGCUACGAGUUGUAAUUUGAAGGUUGAGUUGUAGGUACCAGACAUUCCUAAGUCCAUUGGAACAGGGCGCCUUGGAGGGUGAGAGCCCCGUGAGGAAUGUUGUUCGGUGCCUUUAUACUUCUCUUCCAAAGAGUCGAGUUGUUUGGGAAUGCAGCUCUAAGUGGGUGGUAAAUUCCAUCUAAAGCUAAAUAUUGGCGAGAGACCGAUAGCGAACAAGUACAGUGAUGGAAAGAUGAAAAGCACUUUGAAAAGAGAGUGAAAAAGUACGUG
rnacentral:rRNA from 2 species